UGUUCUUCAACUCAAAAUUUCCAUUAUGAAAAAAUCGCACGGUGCGUUCAUUAGCAGUCACCUCUCCAAACGCAACAUUGAUAUUGCAGCGUUAGUUCCGUGUUGGAAUGACUGGAAUUGAAUUUUCGAAGUAUCCAUCUUUCCUAGCUUUCUUAGUUUCUAAGCUAAAUAAAAAAGACAACUGAAAGUCAAUAAUCGAAUGUUGCACAUUUUUUAAAAGAAGAAAGAACCUCGUACCAUUUGAAAAAAAAUUCAGUCAAAAAUCUCAAACCAUGAAACGAAAUGAAAGUUUCACCAGGACAGGUGGGGCAGCAAAGGCUCAGCCAGGAGAGGUGGGAUUUGCUAACAGCUGCCUCCGAAGGAGACCUAACAACUUCAGAGUAGCUGCUUUUCGAAUGAAUCUACUACCGGAUGAGAAUCGCGACCCGCCCCCUGAUCACGUAAAAAUUUGCGACAGCCACAAUUUUGCAGAUGUUGUGCAGACGCGUCGCGACCGAUCGCAAAACGUCAAAUUAUUUCGUAUCACGUACCGCGAUUGUUCGCUUACCGCUUACUGCAGUUUUCUGUCAUACAACUAGCGCCAGUCGCAAUCGGGUAGCAAUAAUUGGCACUAAAAAGCCACAUUACUUUUUUUUUUUUGCUGAACAAACCGGCAAAUGAAUUUAUAAAAGCGCGUUACAUAUAAACAUUUCAAAAUGUUUAAGUGGAAUUCACGUUUGAAACACCAAGUGAGAACUGCUAAUUCUGUUCUUUUCGAUGAAGCGUUACUAAAAAUAAGUGAUCUAAUAAUAAUUUUUGCUUUAUUUUGAAUAAUAGCUAUAAAAAUGUAAUUGUGUCAUGUCAAACACUGAUAACAUUUUUUUUUGUAAUCGUUUGAUAAUUUGUAAUCAGAUAGUUGUUUACGUUACGAACCUAUUUUAAAAAAGAAUGGAUCAAAAUUAUAGCCUAAUUUAUUAAUUUCAUUAACAAUUAAGUAAGUACAUAAGCUCACAACCCAUCUAGUGUUAAGUGGUAUAGACCUUACAACGUGAAUGCCGCCCCCACCUUUAGAAACGAGGUCUGAGUUUCAACUGUAUACCAAAACGGCUGCCCCAUUCUUCAAAUUGCAACGCAUUACUGCUUCGCGGUAGAAAUGGGCGGAAUGGUGGUCUUGCGGGUUAAUCAAACGCCCUACCACCAACGAUUUCUUAAAGAAUAUUUGCUAAUUUGAUUUUAAAUAAAAGAUGAAUGAAUCCUUAAUCAUGGAAGUCUUCCAUGUAUAUAUGUCAAAUACGUGUUUUAUUGGAUUUAUUGAUAUCUGCCUGGGGGAUUCUAACACUAGUUCAGUCGCAUCUUUAUUAGAAAGUCGGCCGUCUCUACUACACCGCUUAGGCCACGACGAUUUCAAAUUAAAUAGUAAAUUCUAGAAUAAAUGAAUUAGUUUUAUGGUUUUAUCAAUAAUAACGUGUACAACAGAUCCAUCUUACGCCGACAUGAGGCCGACAACGCUAGAACAACCAGUCGAUGAUAUUCUAGGCGAGAUGCUGCUAUUCUUUAUCAAGUAAUAGAUAGUGGAUUUGUUUGACUUGGCAAGAGUAGGCUUUGAUUUGAAUACCAGAAAUAUAGUGCAGUCUUUCACAGCUUGAAGGGAAAUAAAAGCUGUGCAGACUAUUCAAAAUAAUGUUCACCCAAGGUCAUGGGCAAUAUGACGUGAAUAGGAAACUGCAUGUCAGACAUUAACUUAAUGUUCUAUAUUAUUUUUAAACAAAUGAAUCUAAUAAUUUAAGACAAUAAAUAAAUAUUUAUUUUUAUAAUUAGCCCAGUUUUUCGUCGACGAAGCCAUCUUAAGAGAAGCUUCAUUGCAAAUAUCAGGCCGAUAUUUAACUAUAGCGGACAACAAACAAGAGUAGACACAUCGUGAGCUGUAGUUGUAGAAAGAGGAGAAAAUGGAAACUAAGGCGAACCACUGGCUCAUGCAGCUUUCAUUUCAGCAUUUCAUUUCAGAGCAGCAGAAUUGACCAUUAACGGCAAAAACCUUGUUUAAAAUAAUAAGUUCAAAUUUGUUUUAAUUUUAGCUGAGUCCGUAAUAGUUUAUAUUACCAUAAAAACGAAAUAGCGCUUGUUACAAUAGUCAAGCAAAUCCAAAUAUAUACGUUUUACUUUAGGCUGGUACUACAGUAAAUUUUAUGACACUAAUGAGUAUAUUUUACGCUAAUAAAACUACUCUCAACUUAGCAUUUCAAAA